AAAAUACUAAAAUAGUAAUUAAAUAUUUAUUGAAACUUAAAUAAUUUGGCGGUAUUUUAGUUCAUUUAGAGGAAUCUGUUUAAUAAUUGAUAUUCCACGAAUAAAUUUACUUAUUUUAUAAUUUUGUAUAUCGUUGUUAUAAAAAUAUUUUUUAAUGAAAUUAAUGUUUAAAAAUUAAUAUGAAAAAUUAAAUCAAAUCAAGAUGCAGAUUAUAAUUAAGAAUAUAAUGGAUUACAAUAAAUUUAUUUAAAUGGAUUUUAUUUUGUAAUAUUUAAUUGAAGGUGGAUUUAAAUGUAAUUUUAUUUAAUUUAAUAAAAUGAUUAAAAAUUAAAAUAUGU
rnacentral:rRNA from 1 species